UCAGAAAUGCCAGAGCACAAAAUCCUGUCCUCCAAUGGACCACUUCAGAUCAGUAUGAAGAUGGUCCCCAAGAUGAUGUCGCCGCUGGUGAAGGACUGGGCUCCACAGGCAUUUGGGAUUUCCUUCAAGCUGGAGACGGACCCGUCCAUCCUGCUGGACAGAGCUCGGCAGGCACUGAACAAGCUGUGGUGGCCAACGUACUGGACACCAGACAAGGUUACGUAGUGGUGGAGACCCCUUACACUCAGGCCGAGCUGGUACUUACGGAUGAGGAAGCAAGCAGAGAUGUGGAGAUUGAGGACAGUAUUGUCAGUAACCUGACCUCACAGCCAAUUCAUACCCCAACAAGACUGAGACCCAGAGGUGUUUUCAUUAGUUGCAAUGGAAACUUCACUCAAAACGGAAAACGUUAUGCAACAAAAACAAGUUAUGACUGGACAAAUUCAUGGAGGUCCCUCCCCAUUUGCUCUGUUUGCUUCCUAGAGUAAAAGGUAAAACAGCUUCCGUUGCAAAUCGUUUCUCACAGAAUCUGACUAAUGAAUACACUCCAGUAAACUGUGCUGCUUACUGGGAGGGCUGGCUUUGGUGGUCCGAUGAAACACACUAACAGGUCGUACAAGUCCCUGGGGCAGGGAAUUAUCUCUACUUUCUUCUGAAAUCUUAAUUCAUGCUUGUCUAGUUCGGAUCUUUAUUUUAUCUUGCAGGGCUUUCACCGUCCUCGAUCAGCCAUUCAUGUGCAUGCAUAAGUAGGUUUCAGUACACACUCUGCCUUUAAAAUCAAAUAUUUACAUAAUCGCAGCAAAACAAUCCUUGAGCACCUUAACUUUAAGUAACAUACCAUCUUAUGUCAGAAGGCAGAUUCCAACAUAUUGGUUGUGGAAUGAUAAUGCCAACCAAUGAAUUGACUUAACCUCAUAGCAGUUUGAUUACAACAAAGCAGAUUGUCAGAGUAAUAAUCACAGACAGUAUAUCAGUAAAGUAACAGACUUGGGACAUUAAACCUUAACUGUAUGUUGGUAAUUUAUGUGCUGGACAAAUCUACGCCACAGAGGGAACUGGCAACAGUCUUCCUUGAAGGCAUGACACCGCAUACAGCUAUCAGUGAUAGUGUCAUUUACUUGCAAUUGUCCAAUAAGUCCAGCAUGAAUACCAGACAGCUCUCCACUGUCUCUUGUCUCCUCACAACAGACUUCACGAACCUGGAAUACAUUCAAGAUUGUAAUGUAGAUUUGUUUAAAAAAUACACUUGUUGAAUUCAAUUUGAUCCAUAAUUGACACUUGUUAAAUUAUACAAGUUGUCAAUUUUGCUAUCAACUACUGUAUAUCAUAUCAGCAUACACACCUCAAAGCAGGAUCAAGGAGUUAGCCAGAUAACUUGCCUCAAUAUUCUGAACUAAUAAAUAAGCUUGAAAUGGGCUAUGGUCUAAUUAACUCAACAACCUAAGUAUACUUUUCUAAAUGAAUCACAAAAAUCAACAGUUAUUUCUGGUUGUUAAUCAAAGUAAGCUGGCUAACUCAUUGGUUCUGCUUUGUAGUAUACCCCUCAGGUCCUGAAAGAUGUGCCUGCAGGAGGUGCAAGUAACGCCUGCAAAGCACUUAUCAUACAUUGGAUAUGUAUACAUUUUAUACACUGCAAUUUCAAGUUUCAAACGUAGUCUACAAACGUGUCCUCUUCGGUGUAAAACCUUUGUUCUUGGCCAUUAGCUGAAAGGAUCGAGCAGCAUGUACAAAUUAGACGAAAGGUUUAAACCGGGAAGGGAAUACUAACAUAUAAAGUACAAGAACAGUCUGAUACGAAGGUCAUGAUUUGAAGUACUGGGUGAAAAUGUUCUUAAUUUUGUGCUUUGUACAAUGAGUAUGGAAACAAGUAAAUAUUGUUCAUGAAGGCUAAGCUGUACAAUAAAUAAUUACUGCUGUA